ACGAAAGAGAAAGUCUGUGGAGGAAAGAUCAGAGAUUAAAAAGAAAUGUAACGCCAGACUCUAAGUAGGAUAAAUAUAGGGUCCAACAUUGACCGCUGGAGGAAGCUUCAGGGAGAUCUGGGACUAAAAACAACGCUGACACGGAUGACUUUUUGUUGAGCAGUGUCAUGCAUUGGAGAGUCCCGUGGGCGCCCGGUCAUUAGAGACUCAAGGAAUAACUCACUGUUAUUCACAUCACAUCACACCUCAGCAUUUCGUUCUAUGUUUAAAGGUUACCAGUAAAGUCAAACAAUGCAUUGUUAACAGGUCACAAAUGUUUUGAUCUGUUGUGUUUUUCAUAAAGACACACCUAAUUGAAAAAGAAAUGACUGAGUUUAACAUGCAGAAGACUUUACUGUGAACUCUAAACUAAUACAAAUUCCAUUCUCAUCAUGUUUUUGUAAUAUCUGUUGAGUAACAAAUGAACACAAACCAGAUUAAAACCAUAAUGAAAUGCAUAAACUACAGUCUCUGUUGAACAUUUUUGCUAAGUUGUGUUUUGUAAUUGCGUUUUGCUGUUGAAACUUCACCGAAAACCCUAAAAUAAAAUGAAGUGCAAAUUA